ensembl:lncRNA
CGCGCAGGUUGGCCGGCGAGGGUCACGUGGCAGUCGCGCGUGCACGAGGCGCGCUCCCGGCCGUCGGGCGCGUGCCCGGCCGACCAGGGUUCCUGGCUGUUGGAAAUGCGUCACCGGGCGGGUCCUGCGCGGUCAGGCGUCUGGCCUUCGGGGGUGCUCCGGGCAGCGAGGCCUGGGGCCGCUGGAGGAGUAGGGGUGCGCUGCGACUCGGGGAGCGCACAGAGCAGCUAGGGUCGAGUGCGUGCCUUUCUCAGAAGGAAACAAGGAAAAUAAAGCCAGCCAGGAGAACCACCUCCACAGUGGCCCCAGGAGACCUGAGUGAAAGAGCUGCUCUGGAAGGGACCCAACGCUACUAGGAAAAGCCAGCUAACCUCCACUGAGGAGCCGAAGGUCAGGUCAUGAGGAAGUGGGAGUGAGGAAGAAUGCCUACCAGGCCGACCCACCUGGCAGCUCCGUCCACAAAGGACAUAUGGUGUGUUCAUUCAGCAAGGCCACGCAGGCUCCAAAGUCCGCUGCCUCCACCCUGAGCUUCGGGUGAACAGAGGCAUCAAGAGGCCUUUCUAAGAGGGCCUCGGGGUGGUGGAAAGUCUCUAGUUCCACCCACUUUGCGAUCUGUGCUCCCUGAAUGUGUGUGGCUCCUUCCUCUCCCCUUGUCCAGCCCUCUUCAGGGUCCUUCUGAGCCUGGCCAGUGGAAGCUGAGCACCUGGGGAGACAGUGAUCUAGCCCAUUGGGUUUAGCGCAUUUCCUGUCAAUAUCGAAAGACCGUAAAGCCAAGUUUUCAUGGACCUUAAUCUAACCGUUUUUGACUCUUAAAAAUUCACUUUUUGGGACUUCCCUGGUGGUCCAGUGGUUAAGAGUCUGCCUUGCAAUGCAGGCAAUGCUGAUUGCUGGGUUGGGGAAACUUAAGAUCCUAUUGGAUAUGAGCCUGCAUGAGGUGCCAGGAAAGCUCCCGAGUGAUGCAAAGAAGAUGCGCCACAACUAAGACCUGAAGCAGCCGAAAUAAUAUUUUUUAAUUAUUUGAGAAAAGAGAACACUGACAAAACAUUGUCAAAAUCAAUGGGAGAGAGGGAAAGAGCGCCCCAGAAUGGAGCUGCCACAUCACAGACUAAGUCUCUUAGUUGACAGGUGAGGUCAGACCUGAGCUCCCAUCUCAGCCAGGUCCAAAAGUUUGGCCCUUGUCGUCCUGGAAUGUGACCAGCGGUGUUCCAGAGGAUCUUGGCUCAAGGGGUGCUUCCUGGAGAAGGGAGUCUCUCGAUCCUGCCCCUUCCAGGACAGAGGUGGACAUCUGGGACCAGAAUCACCCCUGCCCCCAGACGACUGGCUGUGGUGUACUUUCAGAUAGGCAGUGUUCAGACCCAUCAGGGACUCUUAAGACACCAGCAGCUAUAAAAUAUGACAUUGUUUCCUUUAACACAGACACAUUAAACUAUGCAGGUUACAGGUUUGAAUUGAUGAAAUACAGUAUCUAAAUGUGUUACAAAAGGAAUUAAACUACAGUUCAUUCAUAUAAUGAACAGCUAUGCCACUAUUAAAUGUAUAAAAAAAGGUUGAUAACAGGAAAAAUAUGUUCAUAUGUUGAGUUUAUGAAGCAAAUUAUAAAACUAUUAUGGUUUUGAAC